rnacentral:rRNA from 1 species
CCUACGGGCGGCAGCAGUAGGGAAUAUUGCUCAAUGGGGGAAACCCUGAAGCAGCAACGCCGCGUGGAGGAUGAAGGUUGUCGGAGUGUAAACGCCUUUUGUUAGAGAAGAGAAUGACGGUAUCUAACGAAUAAGCACCGGCUAACUCCGUGCCAGCAGCCGCGGUAAUACGGAGGGUGCAAGCGUUACUCGGAAUCACUGGGCGUAACGAGCGCGUAGGCGGGAUAGCAAGUCAGAUGUGAAAUCCUAUGGCUUAACCAUAGAACUGCAUUUGAAACUGUUAUUCUAGAGUAUGGGAGAGGUCGGUGGAAUUCUUGGUGUAGGGGUCAAAUCCGUAGAGAUCACGAGGAAUACUCAUUGCGAAGGCGACCUGCUAGAACAUAACUGACGCUGAUGCGCGAAAGCGUGGGGAGCAAACAGGAUUAGAUACCCGGGUAGUC